CCUACGGGAGGCAGCAGUGGGGAAUAUUGCACAAUGGGGGAAACCCUGAUGCAGCGACGCCGCGUGAGUGAAGAAGUAAUUCGUUAUGUAAAGCUCUAUCAGCAGGGAAGAAAAUGACGGUACCUGAGUAAGCAGCCCCGGCUAACUACGUGCCAGCCGCCGCGGUCAUACGUAGGGGGCAAGCGUUAUCCGGAUUUACUGGGUGUAAAGGGAGCGUAGACGGCAGUGCAAGUCUGGAGUGAAAGGCGGGGGCUCAACCCCCGGACUGCUCUGGAAACUGUACGGCUGGAGUGCAGGAGAGGUAAGUGGAAUUCCUAGUGUAGCGGUGAAAUGCGUAGAUAUUAGGAGGAACACCAGUGGCGAAGGCGGCUUACUGGACUGUAACUGACGUUGAGGCUCGAAAGCGUGGGGAGCAAACAGGAUUAGAUACCCGAGUAGUC
rnacentral:rRNA from 1 species